CGGGGCCACUGCCCAGGAGGCCCCGCCUUCCGCUCGAGCGCUCCCAUGCGCCCCCGGAGGCGCCGCCCCUGCGGCCUGCGAGAGAAUUCUUUGAUAACAAACAGCUAUAUGGCAUAUACCACGUGCCAGAUGCUCUACAACACAAGGCUCAUUUACCACUGUCUUGGGUUAGAUGCUCUGGAACCAUAUUUCAAGAUGGAGUAGGAUGUAGGAUACUUGUGAAGAAGUGUUGGGAUCAGCACCCAUGGAAGGAAGAAAGAAGAUGCAGGACUGGGCAGAGGGAAAAGCUGAGCUGUGAUCCAAUACCAACAAAAGCCUCAGGCAAUCCAUGAGAAACUUUGAAACUGGAUUGGCCCUCAGGAGUUGUCUUGAAUUGGGACAAGGGACUCAGGACUUUAUACCACCUCACUGAUGUGGAUAUGUCAUUGAUGUGACCUGUCCCUUGAAGGAAGUGUGGCUUUGAAUGAGGCAAUUUUCUCCAGCAAACAGUCCCCAAACACAGCUGGCUGCUGAAGGACAUCUCCUGGCAACUCUCCCAGCAGCCCAAGGACUAAGUCAUUUAUUACUGAAGGAGGACAUCUAGGAGGUGCACCAUGGACUCUAUCACAUCGUCCUCAUAACGAGGAUGAUACUGUUAUUUUUUCCCUGUUAAAAAUGAGACAAUGGAGGCAUGGAAAUGUUAAAUAAGUUGCCCUAAGAUAUCUCUUAAGUGGUGGAGUCCUCGAGGAUAUGAACCCGGACAACAUGGCCCCAGCAUUGUGCUUCUAACUAUUGGCCCAAGCACUUAUCAAAUGGAAAAGCCACUUAACCUAAUUCUAAGUGUUAUUAAAAUAAUCUUUGAAAACAG